CAGCUCCAUAGCGUAUAUUAAAGUUGUUGCAGUUAAAAGCUCGUAGUUGAACCUUGGGUCUGGCUGGCCGGUCCGCCUCACCGCGAGUACUGGUCCGGCUGGACCUUUCCUUCUGGGGAACCCCAUGGCCUUCACUGGCUGUGGGGGGAACCAGGACUUUUACUGUGAAAAAAUUAGAGUGUUCAAAGCAGGCCUUUGCUCGAAUACAUUAGCAUGGAAUAAUAGAAUAGGACGUGCGGUUCUAUUUUGUUGGUUUCUAGGACCGCCGUAAUGAUUAAUAGGGAUAGUCGGGGGCGUCAGUAUUCAGCUGUCAGAGGUGAAAUUCUUGGAUUUGCUGAAGACUAACUACUGCGAAAGCAUUCGCCAAGGAUGUUUUCAUUAAUCAGGGAACGAAAGUUAGGGGAUCGAAGACGAUCAGAUACCGUCUUACUCUUAACCAUAAACAAUGCCGACUAGGGAUCGGAA
rnacentral:rRNA from 1 species